GUCUGCUUCAUGUUUGAGUCUCCUACCCAAACCUGUCAUCCUCUUGAUCCCAGUUGAAGAUUCAUUCUCCUUAGGCAGACUUUUCUAUUUCACGUCCUCCUGCAAGCCUGGUCAACUCUGUACUCACAGAACUUGGAAUUUUUUCCGCAGCAUUUAUGACUACUUGUAAUUAUAUAUUUAUUUGAGUAAAUAUCUUGACAAUGGCUGUCUGCUCCAUUAGCCCAUAAACCCCACAAGAGGAGGGAUUGUGUCUGUCUUGCACACUAUGUACCUCCAAUGCUGAGCCUGGUGGCUACACAUGGGAGGCACACAAUAUACAUGUAUUAAAUCAGUGAUUAGGUUUUCUCUCUCCUUAUAGUUUUAAGUAUCAGGCGUCCUUGUUUCCAGGAGAUAUGGUGCUGCACCCAGGCAGUGAAGACAACACCUUGUGAGGAAGUGGGGGAGAUGAAGAGACUGCUGUCAUCCCAUCUUUGCUGGGUACCAAGAUUUAUCAGGCUAACUGGGACAAAGACGUUUUCUAGUUGGAGGUAUUCUCAUCACACAAUGCUGCAGUGUGCUCAAGUGGAAGGACCUUUCCAGAGAAGCAAGUCUAAAAAGAGUAAUUCAUAUUAUGAAUUCUUUAAAAUUGUUCUUCUUUCUUACCUUCCUAAGUACAUGACCUUUAUCAUAAGAUGCCCCCAGAAGAUUAGAUAUUGUGACAGAGAGAAUGUAAAAAGAAUUACCAAGGUAGUAAUCAGCCUAGCAAUCACAAUUUAGGUAGCAGGAUAAUAGCUUUGCACCCAAGGCUACUGUCUUGAGAGAUGGUUUUCCAAAUUCUUUUGUCUGUCUCCCUAGGUAUCAGCAUUUAAGCCUGAAGGACCUGGCUCAGAGAGUGCUUCCAUGGGAUGGAGAAGAGACUCUUGUCACUAUGGGAGCCAGCUGCACUCUGUGCAAGAAGAAGUGGAGCAGAAGCAAAAGACAAGCCCUCCACUUUCUAAUCCAGGGAAUAGCAGGAGGCAGAAAGAGCAUAUGGAGGUGGCACAAAGCUGUUGGUCUAGCUGGUUACCUCCCAGGGGACUUAGGAGGGCCAUGUAUUAGGUAAGUCUAAGAGAGCCAAGAAGACUAGAGGCUUGUUCUGCAACUUAUUGAAGAGUAGGAGGAGGAGGCUAAUUCCCAGGCUGUCCAUACUAAGCUGGGAGGCUGACUGCCUUCUCACCCCAAUGGCCUGGCACGGUCAGGCAGAGGCAGGC
rnacentral:lncRNA from 1 species